UACGUAGGCAGCAAGCGUUGUUCGGAGUUACUGGGCGUAAAGAGCGUGUAGGCGGCCCGGUAAGUCCGCUGUGAAAGUCGAGGGCUCAACCCUCGAAUGCCGGCGGAUACUGUCGGGCUAGAGUCCGGAAGAGGCGAGUGGAAUUCCUGGUGUAGCGGUGAAAUGCGCAGAUAUCAGGAGGAACACCUAUAGCGAAGGCAGCUUGCUGGGACGUUACUGACGCUAAGGCGCGAAAGCGUGGGGAGCGAACAGG
rnacentral:rRNA from 1 species